rnacentral:rRNA from 1 species
UUAAAUUGAAGAGUUUGAUCAUGGCUCAGAUUGAACGCUGGCGGCAGGCCUAACACAUGCAAGUCGAACGGUAACAGGAAUCAGCUUGCUGAUUCGCUGACGAGUGGCGGACGGGUGAGUAAUGUCUGGGAAACUGCCUGAUGGAGGGGGAUAACUACUGGAAACGGUAGCUAAUACCGCAUAACGUCGCAAGACCAAAGAGGGGGACCUUCGGGCCUCUUGCCAUCGGAUGUGCCCAGAUGGGAUUAGCUAGUAGGUGGGGUAACGGCUCACCUAGGCGACGAUCCCUAGCUGGUCUGAGAGGAUGACCAGCCACACUGGAACUGAGACACGGUCCAGACUCCUACG